GCAGCAUCAUGUUUCCUGAAUUCUGUCUGAAGUGACGCUAUGUGAAAUACAUGGACUGACCUAGUUGGUGUAAAGUUGGAACAACUAAUAGAACAGUUGAUGCAACAGUUUGGAGAAGAUGGAAAACAUGUGAAAUGUACAAUAUUAAUGUUUGAUUAGACGUGAUGAUAACAUAUCAGGAACGUCACAAAGGAGAAUGUUUGACCGCUUACUUGUUUGUAGCAGGAGGUUGACGUCCUUUGAAAUUAAUGGGGUGAUCUUUUGACCAGUCGCUUUUCAAGGACACACAGCUGGGUUCAGGUCCAGGUCCAGGUUCAGGUCCAGGUCCAGGUCCAGGUUCAGGUUCAGGU